rnacentral:lncRNA from 1 species
AGAGGUCUGAUGAAUAAUUUCUUGAGAAGUCAUAAACUGCUGAAAUGAAGAGGAUAAAUAUUCUAAGGCAUUAUCACUGCGAAAAGUACGAAUAGAAACAUCGAAUUGGUUUUUAAUUUCAGCACAAAAUGCUAGAAAAUAGAAAACAACCCAGAACGAUCUUUCAUUAAGAAAAUCCAAGUACAUCUUGAAUGAUCAUCAAUGAAACUAACAAAAUAAUGAAACCCCAAGGUUGAACUGACUCUACUAGGACCCCAUAUAUCAGAAUGAACUAUAGAAAAAAUAGACUCUGCGUGACUCUCAAUACCACGAGGAAAGGAGGAUCGGGUAUGUUUCCCGAGCUGACAUGACUCACACUCUAAUGUGGAUAAACUAGACAAACCAGACACCAUCUUCUGAAGCUUGGACAAGCGAGGAUGUCCUAAACAACUAUGAAGUAGGUCUGGAGGAUCUGCAACUAGACAGGCCUUGGAGGAUUUUAGUGAGUUAAGGUAUCUUUUGAAGAUUGGAUAAUCUUGGAUGUCCUAAACGUCCGUGAAUUAGGUCCGGAGGAUCUGUAACUAGACAUGCCUUGGAGAAUUUUAGCGAGUUAAGGUAGUAAAUGCCUUCUGAUUCACGUCCUGUUCCAAUCGUCUGCCUCGUACUGUGGUCCUGCAUAAUAAAGGAAUUAUCAACAAAUAUAUACCACAAUGGAGAGCACGAGUCAAACGACUAACAGAUGCAAGAUUAAAAGGACAGCCAGGGACAUACAGAACGGAAUCUAGAGUGACAGAGGGUAAGGGAGUCGCUUGUCCAACUCCUUUUUCUUUGGUUU